GGGGGCUCUUUCCGACUCCAAUUGGGAGCCGGCGAGAGGAGGAAGAAAACUCUCUUCGGGAGUCUUCUCCCCUGUUUUCUUCUUCUUUUUUUUUUUUUUUCAUUUGGGCUUUGUGGGCUGGGAUUCGUUACUCGAGUCGGGCCAUCACAUUUAUCCAUAAGUAGUAUUCUUCAAAUCAAUACCUAAAUGUUGGAAAAGGG
rnacentral:lncRNA from 1 species